CUGCUCCACUAGAAGAUCUACCGAUUUUAGAGUUCUACGCAACACUAGCUCUAUGAAGUUUUCAUCCACCAGGUCUGUUCCUAACCACCUUGUCUUGUGUGAGAGACUUCUGCAACAUGUAAAUCAAUGAUGAGAGUACAGGCAAAGGUUGGCAUACAUGUCAAGAGAAUGUUCUCCAGCUGGGGCCUGCAGUACAGAGAAUUGUAUAUACCAGAGGGCUCAUGGGACUCUAGGCAGAUUAUUAUGGUAAUAUUGGAGGCUGCUGUCCUCUCCCUCCCACAGCUGGGCCGCCUCUCUCAUUGUAAGUAUUGAAGCAAUAUGUUUUGCAAAUUAUACGUUGGGAACAACAGGGACCCAGUAAAGUGAAGAAAAAGAGAAACAUUGCAAAAUGUUGCCUUUAAUAUUAUAUUUUUCUUGUUCAUCAAGCAAAAUAAAUUAAAGCUUUAAUUUUUUUUAAUUAAAUGA
rnacentral:lncRNA from 1 species